rnacentral:rRNA from 1 species
UGGGGAAUAUUGGACAAUGGGCGAAAGCCUGAUCAAGCCAUGCCGCGUGUGUGAAGAAGGUCUUCGGAUUGUAAAGCACUUUAAGUUGGGAGGAAGGGCAGUAAGCGAAUACCUUGCUGUUUUGACGUUACCGACAGAAUAAGCACCGGCUAACUCUGUGCCAGCAGCCGCGGUAAUACAGAGGGUGCAAGCGUUAAUCGGAAUUACUGGGCGUAAAGCGCGCGUAGGUGGUUCGUUAAGUUGAAUGUGAAAGCCCCGGGCUCAACCUGGGAACUGCAUCCAAAACUGGCGAGCUAGAGUAGGGCAGAGGGUGGUGGAAUUUCCUGUGUAGCGGUGAAAUGCGUAGAUAUAGGAAGGAACACCAGUGGCGAAGGCGACCACCUGGGCUCAUACUGACACUGAGGUGCGAAAGCGUGGGGAGCAAACAGG